rnacentral:lncRNA from 1 species
UUUAUUUUGCAGUUUAAGAAAAUUGAUAUUAAUCCUUCCAUGAUUGAACAUAUAAAAUUCAACCAAUUAAAAUAACUUAGGCUUUGUGUGAAUUUGGGCUGCUCCAAAGAAACUUCCAUUGUCUGUUGCAUCCUCAAAAACUGUCCAUCAUUGAGAUAUCUUCGAAUACAUGUAAUUAAUCUCUAUUUCAUUUAACAUUUUACUUUUUUAUAUUCAAUU